AUUGACGUAUAAUGCGGCGUGUAGUUCAGAAAGGCAAAGCCACGCGCCUGGUCGAUGGUGUGAAACAGCGGGUUCCAGUCGAAAUAGACCAGCAUGAAGCCGGGCAGGGCGUUGGCCACGAACAUCUUGCCCGAUGCCACCAUGUUGGCGCGCG
rnacentral:ncRNA from 1 species